rfam:Nipponia nippon contig1108, whole genome shotgun sequence.
GGAAAGGCUUUAUUAAAAGCUACAGUACAUACUCAGGAGGCAAGAGU